rnacentral:rRNA from 1 species
CUACGGGGCGCACCAGUGGGGAAUUUUGCGCAAUGGGGGCAACCCUGACGCAGCAAUACCGCGUGAGUGAAGAAGGCCUUUGGGUCGUAAAGCUCUUUUCUAAGGGAAGAUAGUGACGGUACCUUAGGAAUAAGCACCGGCUAACUCCGUGCCAGCAGCCGCGGUAAUACGGAGGGUGCGAGCGUUGUUCGGAUUUACUGGGCGUAAAGGGCACGUAGGCGGCCUAGCAAGUUAAGGGUGAAAUCCCGGGGCUCAACUCCGGAACUGCUCUUAAAACUGCUAAGCUAGAGAUAGUCAGAGGCGGGUGGAAUUCCAGGUGUAGAGGUGAAAUUCGUAGAUAUCUGGAGGAACACCGGUGGCGAAGGCGGCCCGCUGGGGCUAUUCUGACGCUGAGGUGCGAAAGCGUGGGGAGCGAACGGGAUUAGAUACCCGCGUAGUC